UGCCUCGUUGUGGGCCAAAUAUUGAGAGC
rnacentral:sRNA from 1 species